rnacentral:lncRNA from 1 species
GCUGAUUGCUACUUCGUGAAGAUCAGCCGUGACUUCAAAUAGUAGAAUGUUCAACUAGCGAUGGCUUAGGCAAUAGAGACAGUUACUUCACAUACCCUCAAGAGGCCCCACUCUCUGUUUUUCUGCUCUAGCAUCCUCAGCUUUUCCUCAGUUGGCUUUUCUUUCUCAUUCCGGUCACCUGAAAGCCACACCAUGGCUUCCACGACUCUGAGCAUCACACAGUAAGGAGUAAGGAAGGAAGGAGGGGAGGAUGCCAUAGUGACAAAAGAUACCUGUGUGCACCUUUCUCCUUUUUAAUCAGGAAUGGAAAACGUUUCCCAAAAUCUCCUCAGGAAACCUCCUUCUAGGUCUGUCAUAACUUUCUCCCAUGCAAGAGUGUCUGAAACAGAGUCAGACGCAAAAGAGGAACGGCGGCUGGCACACAGUCCAUGCUCCACCAACACUGUCAACUGAAGGGAUGAGCAUCAGAGUUGGACAUGAGUGGAAGUGAAUAUUAACUGAAAUCCAGUAAGUUCAUAAAUAGAGGGGUCAUAGAGGCAGCGACAGACCACAGUGUUCCUAGGAUGAAAAAGAUGAGGAGCUGAAGAGAUGGUGCUUAUAUAUCGGAUAAAACCAAGAGCUGACAAGUGGAAGGCUGAGGUCAGCUGCUACAAUGAAAAGUCACGCUAUCUCACCUACAGCCCAUUUCUGAGUCAAGUCUCAUCCCAGAGCCCAUUGACUGAAGGAGAGACCAUGUUCUCUAGAGGAGAGAGUCUGGAACCAAAUCAAGGCACAAGUUCAAGGCUUGAGCUGUAUGAGACACAUCUUUGGCCCAGCACACAUCCUUUCAGCCCACAUCUCACUCCGGCCUUUGUUGCUGGGGCACUCGGGGCGCUCGGCUCUGGGUAGCUGUCAUCUGACCGCAUGCUUCCUCAACUGUGUCACAUCAUGCCUGCUUUCUGUCCUGGAGCUUCUUUAAACCGACCACUUCCACUCCCUGCAG